rnacentral:misc_RNA from 1 species
GAAAUGCGAUAAGUAAUGCGAAUUGCAGAAUUCCAGUGAGUCAUCGAAUCUUUGAACGCACAUUGCGCCCUUUGGUAUUCCGAAGGGCAUGCCUGUUCGAGCGUCAUUAUCACCCCUCAAGCCCCCGGCUUGGUGUUGGACGGUCUGGUUUCGGUGACGAAACCCCUCCUAAAGUCAAUGACGGCGGCCUGUUUGACCCCGGUACACUGAGCUUCUUCACAGAGCACGUACCGGUUUCAAGGUUGACAGGCCUCGGUCUUCUCCCGUUAACGGGAAACUUCUUUCAAGGUUGACCUCGGAUCAGGUAGGGAUACCCGCUGAACUUAA